rnacentral:rRNA from 1 species
GGAAUCUUGCACAAUGGACGAAAGUCUGAUGCAGCGAUCCCGCGUGAAGGAUGAAGCAUUACGGUGUGUAAACUUCUUUUUUGGUGGAAGACGAAUGACGGUACACCAAGAAUAAGAGACGGCUAACUACGUGCCAGCAGCCGCGGUAAUACGUAGGUCUCAAGCGUUAUCCGGAUUUACUGGGCGUAAAGUAUCCGUAGCCUGAUAUGUAAGUCUGUUUUCAAAUCCCACGACUCAAUCGUGGAAAGGGAAUGGAUACUGCAUAUCUAGAAGUUAUUGGGGGUUAGUGGAAUUUCCGGUGGAGCGGUGAAAUGCGUUGAUAUCGGAAAGAACGCCGAAAGCGAAAGCAGCUAACUAUGAUUAACUUGACGGUGAGGGAUGAAAGUUUGGGUAGCAAACG